AUUGAACGCUGGCGGCAUGCCUUACACAUGCAAGUCGAACGGCAGCACGGGAGCAAUCCUGGUGGCGAGUGGCGAACGGGUGAGUAAAGUAUCGGAACGUGCCCAGUCGUGGGGGAUAACGUAGCGAAAGCUACGCUAAUACCGCAUACGAUCUAUGGAUGAAAGCGGGGGAUCGCAAGACCUCGCGCGAUUGGAGCGGCCGAUAUCAGAUUAGGUAGUUGGUGGGGUAAAGGCCCACCGAGCCGACGAUCUGUAGCUGGUCUGAGAGGACGACCAGCCACACUGGGACUGAGACACGGCCCAGACUCCUACGGGAGGCAGCAGUGGGGAAUUUUGGACAAUGGGCGCAAGCCUGAUCCAGCAACGCCGCGUGCAGGAUGAAGGCCUUCGGGUUGUAAACUGCUUUUGUACGGAGCGAAAAGGCUUUCUCUAAUACAGGGGGCUCAUGACGGUACCGUAAGAAUAAGCACCGGCUAACUACGUGCCAGCCGCCGCCGUAACAC
rnacentral:rRNA from 1 species